AACUCACUAAUGGGUGCUAAAAGAGUUUGGGUCAAGCUCGUAACGGUAAACAAACGCUACCUGGGAGGCAACCCAAUUGGUCAAACUUAAUUUUUGUUUUUUUUUUUUUAUUUAUUUCUCUUCUAGUUGCAUUAUAGGUGUGAUAAUGCUAAGACUUACCAUUAUCUAAGCAUCAUUUUAGUAGCAAAAUCAACUCUUUUCUAGCUUGAAAAUUGCUUAUAUAACUUUUUUAUCUAGUUUUAGUAUUUAUCUAUAUUUUGAGCUACAUUACGUAAAUAAUACUCUAAUCCCUUGUUUUUUUA
rnacentral:lncRNA from 1 species